rnacentral:rRNA from 1 species
UACAGAGGUCUCAAGCGUUGUUCGGAUUCAUUGGGCGUAAAGGGUGUGUAGGUGGCGCUGUAAGUCGGGUGUGAAAUUUCGGAGCUUAACUCCGAAACUGCAUUCGAUACUGCGGUGCUUGAGGACUGGAGAGGAGACUGGAAUUCAUGGUGUAGCAGUGAAAUGCGUAGAGAUCAUGAGGAAGACCAGUGGCGAAGGCGGGUCUCUGGACAGUUCCUGACACUGAGACACGAAAGCGUGGGGAGCGAACAGG